rnacentral:rRNA from 1 species
AUGGAGUGGAUACAAAACGCUACAGAUUUUCACUCUAUGAUUAUGGCAGUGGCAAUAUAGCACAUAUGGGAAAAUAGAAAUGCCUACCGUAAUGGGAAGUUAACUCAUCCUCUCCGUGUGGUGGGAAAGAUCAAAGCUUAUGUUGAAUUUAUCAUUAUGCAUUCUUUUAGUUCGACCACUUCCAUUAGACGUGAGACCUUGAAGUCAAACCAAAAAUGGUCUCCGCCGCCAGAUGGGUCGGUGCUCAUCAAUGUGGAUGCAGCAAUAUUCUCCCAAUCUGCAAGAGCGGGCUUUGGUGUGGUAAUAUGUGAUCACCGGGGAAGGGUGCUGGCGGGGAAUAGAGGUUACUUUGAACGAAUUCAACUUCGUGAAGUAGCAGAAGACAUGGCACUUCGUCAAGCCUUAAUCCUUGCCAAUAACCUUAGCACACGGAAGAUAAUGGUAGCAUCUGAUUGCCUGUCAUUGAUCAACAAGGUCAAGGGUUUAGUUGAUAGGUCCCCUAUUGGAGCCAUAGUCCAUGAUAUUAGAAAAUGUGCCACAAAGUUCGUACUGUAUAUUGUACUUUUAUCCAUGUCAGUCGUAAUUGUAAUGAGGCAGCACAUGUUCUAG